GGGGGGGGCAAGCGUUUGUUCGGAAUUACUGGGCGUAAAGGGCGUGUAGGCGGUCCCGCAAGUCUUUCGUGAAAUCCCACAGCUCAACUGUGGAACUGCGAGGGAAACUGCAGGACUUGAGUCCGGGAGAGGAGAGUGGAAUUCCCAGUGUAGCGGUGAAAUGCGUAGAUAUUGGGAGGAACACCGGUGGCGAAGGCGGCUCUCUGGACCGGUACUGACGCUGAGGCGCGAAAGCUAGGGGAGCAAACGGGAUUAGAUACCCCGGGUAGUCCUAGCCUUAAACGAUGAGCACUUGGUGUGGCGGGUAUCGACCCCCUGCCGUGCCGAAGCUAACGCAUUAAGUGCUCCGCCUGGGGAGUACGGUCGCAAGGCUG
rnacentral:rRNA from 1 species